CGUUGAAACUUUUGGAAAGUGCCGAGCUUGUUCUAUUUCAUGAAGGGGAGGACAAUGUUUUCAUUGUCCUAUUGAGGUCCACCCUUCCUCACCUGAAUGAGUGUAAACAGUGGUUUUGUUCGUGGAUGGUAGGUUUGGGCAUUGGGGAGGGGGUUUCUUUGGUUAAACCUGCAUUGUAGCCAUGGCUCUUGGUCUCUUUGUGAGUCGCUUGCCCCGUUUUGAGCUAUGUUGCUUGUU
rnacentral:misc_RNA from 1 species